GACGAACGCUGGCGGCGUGCUUAACACAUGCAAGUCGAACGGAAAGGCCCUGCUUUUGUGGGGUGCUCGAGUGGCGAACGGGUGAGUAACACGUGAGUAACCUGCCCUUGACUUUGGGAUAACUUCAGGAAACUGGGGCUAAUACCGGAUAGGAGCUCCUGCUGCAUGGUGGGGGUUGGAAAGUUUCGGCGGUUGGGGAUGGACUCGCGGCUUAUCAGCUUGUUGGUGGGGUAGUGUCUUACCAAGGCUUUGACGGGUAGCCGGCCUGAGUGGGUGACCGGCCACAGUAGGACUGGAAGACGGACCAGUCUCCGACGGGAGGGGGCAGGGGGGAAUUAUGCAAAAUGGGCCGAAGCCUGACGCAGCAACCCCGGGGGCGGGAAGACGGCCUUCGGGUUGUAAACCGCUUUCGCCUGUGACGAAGCGUGAGUGACGGUAAUGGGUAAAGAAGCACCGGCUAACUACGUG
rnacentral:rRNA from 1 species